rnacentral:lncRNA from 1 species
CUGGUGUGUAUCUUGAGUCCUUGGGCCUCUGCUGCUAUCCUCUCCCAUGGGAUCAGAAGGAGCAUACAGAGAUGGCUUUCCCUUGUUAUGACUAUGGUGACCAUUUUUCUCAAUGAGAGGUAAGAGUAAAGUCAUGGCUGUAUGCCUAUUUCUAUGUUACCUUUUCAUUAACAACAGUGUAACGCAACCUUUAUCAACAGAAAGAGAAAGCCUUUAGCGGAACAUAUUUUAAUGUACAGGGAUGCCAGAAUGGCCUUAGAGAAUGAUUAGCUUUGUGUGUUGGGAAGGCUUCCAAUGGACAUCACCGAUCCCAGAGCUGGUCCUGGUUCUGUCCUGGUUUUAUAUUUAUGUCGUCUCAUUCGUGUGUUGAGAUAGUGUAAUCUGUUCCAUUUUAACACUACCAUUUCAACUGUGUGUGUCUCACAGGGUGACACCAAAAGCAAUAGGUGAAAGGCUGCAGGCUGUGUCCAACGGUCUAUGGGUCACAAAGGGCUGUCAGGUAACCAUGGUCCCACCUCAGGUUCCUCUCCCCAGUCCUGUCACUGCCAGUCAGAGGGCAGCAGCUAUCCACUGCCUUAAAGAACUGGUGCGAUUGUACCGCUGUUCUAUUGGCCAAGGUACUGCACAUGGUGUGUGUGAAUGGAGGAUAUCCACUGCUGUUGAGAUGACUCUAAGAAAUGCAGGCAUGUUGCCCAACAGCAUUUUCCACAACGGUUGGAUGAAAGUGUCCAUCUCAGACCAGCUCCCUCCAUUGACCCUUGGUGAGUCCACCAAGCUGGAACAAUCUGUACCACCAUUGGCAUGUCUUUUCCCUAGAGAAGCUGCCAUGAUGAGUGCUAAACCCCACCGUGCCCAACAGCUGAGAAAGAAAAGCCCAUAUCACAGACAGCGUCAGGCUUCCUCCACACUCUGCAUGGUCCCAGAGAUGCUCCUUAUCCACACCCUUGGCAGAUUUAUUUAUAAUAUCUACCCCCUGGAGGACUUCUCCCCAUGGACAGAGGAGGUUAUUGAAAACCGUGUGGAGGUGACGCGGCAACUUUCCUUCCUGGUCCAGGAGGCCUUGGCCAAAUCUUCUAAGACCAAAGCCCUACAAAGAGCACUGAGAAAGCUCUCAGAGCCGAACCAGAACUAUGGCCCACUGGAGCUCCAGCUGGGAGAUCUGCUGUUCAGCAACUUUCUGAAGCAGUUCUCUUCACAGCGCCCUCUGUCACCCGAGGCCUUCCUGGACAAUCACCAGCUCUGCUUGGAAGUGUCAGUUAUGGUGAGCAGGGUGCUUCUCCAGCAAUGGACCCCCAGGAUUUCUUUCUCCCCUGUCUGUGAGGUGCAGGAAAUCAGCCCGAGACUGAAACGGCGCCAGGGGGGUGUCAUCCAACACUGGUCCUCAACAGACAACCUCCUAGUGCUUGCUGAUGAAAGCCAUGAGGAUCUGCACUCUGUGGGUAUGUUUUCUAGAAUGUACACACAUGUG